GGAGGUUUCACAAAAGGGUACAAUACCUCUCUCCGACGGCUCACUCCGGCAGAACUGUUGUGAAAAGACCAUGUAGCUGAUUGUCGAGGAUCUACGACAGUAAUAUGGCUUCCUCUUUUUCCACUGCCACGUCGACGUGGCCACAGUGCAUGUGUGCUUGUGGCUAUGGCCAUUGUUUUGUGAAUGUAUCAAGAUCUCACAAAAAUCCUAGCCGUGCAUAUUAUGUUUGCCCCAGCCCAUGGUGAGUUAUAACAAAUGAUUAUUUCUCACUCCAUUUGUUUGCAAACUGUAAUUCCCAUCACUAGUAAGUGUUGCGUUUCUUAUUCAUCAGCAAUGUAUUAAUUGCAUUGGUUGGUGUGACGAAUCAGGGAGACGGAGCCCUGACCAUGACUCAUCAACAACCGAUGUCAUGCAGUUACGGGCUGAUGUCGUGCACAUUAUUAAUACUUUGUAUGUAAUGAAAACAGUGAUUUGUGUAUUGUGCAUCAUGGUCAUAAUCUUAUUAUUGCGAAUGUAAACCUCGUAAAUCAUUACCCUUGUACAUAAGUAAUGUUUUGAAGAAGUAAUGUUUUGAACAAGUAAUUGCAUUGUGAUCGUUUUUAUGUGAACGCUAUAUGCUGCUAGUAAUUAUU